AGCACACGAACGCUAUGUUAUCAACACACUCUCUUUGGCGAUAGCAUUUGUAGCGCGAAGUCAUGACGUCAAACGCUACCAACAAUAACGUCAUGAUAGUAUUUUAUAGUGCUAUCAGUUAACUCCCCGAACAAUGGUAUAGCACUGUAUAGCACUGGUAGUGAGUAGUGAGCUUCCUGAACGCACCCUAGAUAUCAAAUAUCUUAUUGACUCCUCAUUCUUUUGGCUGCCAUUGGCGACCUGUGCCCGCGCGCACGAUAAAGCUGUACAUACGAACACAGAAAUACGAGAAUAAUCACACGUAACUUGCAAUACGAUUCCGUCUAUCGAGAGAAGCAUCAUAUUUUUCUUUUAAUAACGAUUCUGAUCUUGAUACGUCUUGAUACGAGAAUAUCGCCGCUUCGGUCUGGAUCAUUUUCCCCCUGAUCAAUAUGAAUAAAGCAGAAAAGAUGGACUACGAAAACUCAAGCCUAAUGCUGUUCCAUUCAUAUUUAGAAUUAGUCCAUCUUCAAACACAAACAAUCCUGUUUCUCAAGAGUCACAGACCGUAUUUGCUGCAACAUCAUAGAUCUCUAAGAAUAAUCAAUGAUCCAUCUUCAAACUGACAAUUUUAUUUCUCAAGAGUCAUAGACCAUACUCGAUGCAACAUUCACACAUA